CGGCCAUAUUAACAUUGAAACGCCGGUUAUCGUCCGAUAAUCGAAGUUAAACCACAUCGAGCCUAGUUAGUAGCUAGAUGCAUGACCGCUUGGGAAUACCGUGUGC